GAUGAGUUGUUGUAAACACCACAUGGUCGGCGGGCUAAAGUCUGGGAAUACUAUGAGCCAGAUUUGGUAGAGGUGGACAAUGUCCCGAAGGCUGUGUGUAAGUAUUGUUCCAUGAAAUUAGCAUGCAAGUUUGGGACGAGCAGCCUUAGAAACCACAUUGGUGAGUCAUGCCCCAAAAUCGAUGAUGUGUCCAGAAAUAGGUUUCUUGCAACAAUUAAGAAAAAACAAUCAGAUGUGGGGUUUGUUUUCGAUCCUUAG
rnacentral:rRNA from 1 species